rnacentral:lncRNA from 1 species
CAGGCGGGCUUCAGCCGAGCUUCUUCAAUAAACGAUCUCCAUCCGGACUUCUGCAAGAAUCAGACUCCGAUCGAACUUCUGUAGCGGAUAGAUGUCGGACGAACUUCUAUGACAGACGGGUUCCAGCAGUCGGGCUCCCCCAACAGCCAAUCGCCCCCGACAUCUGUCAUACCUCCCCAGCCAUCGGCCUCAAAUAAUGUC